CCUACGGGAGGCAGCAGUGGGGAAUAUUGGGCAAUGGAGGCAACUCUGACCCAGCAAUGUCGCGUGAGUGAUGACGGCAAUUUUAUUUUAAAGCUCCUUUUUUUGGAACGUAUAAUUGACGGUAUCAACGGAAUUAGCUCUGGCUAAUUACGGGCAAGCAGCUGCGGGAAUACGUAGGGGGCCAGUGUUGUUCGGAAUGAUUGGGCGUACAGGGUGUGUUGGUGGUUUGAUAAGUUAGAUGUGUAAUUCCCAGGGGUUAACUCGGGUGCUGCAUCUAAGACUGGUAGACUUGAGUACUGGAGAGGAUAGUGGAAUUCCUGGUGUAGCGGUGGAAUGCGUAGAUAUUAGGAAGAACAUCGGUGGCGAAGGCGGCUAUCUGGACAGCAACUGACACUGAGGCACGAAAGCGUGGGGAGCAAACAGGAUUAGAUACCCCUGUAGUC
rnacentral:rRNA from 1 species